rnacentral:rRNA from 1 species
UACGGGGGGAGCAAGCGUUGUUCGGAUUUACUGGGCGUAAAGGGCGCGUAGGCGGCCACUGCAAGUCAGUUGUGAAAUCUCCGGGCUUAACCCGGAAAGGUCAACUGAUACUGCAGGGCUAGAGUGCAGAAGGGGCAACUGGAAUUCUCGGUGUAGCGGUGAAAUGCGUAGAUAUCGAGAGGAACACCUGCGGCGAAGGCGGGUAGCUGGGCCGACACUGACGCUGAGGCGCGAAAGCCAGGGGAGCGAACGGG